UCCAAGCAUAAGUCGCUGGGGGACGGGGAAAGGCUGUAACAGACAUUCCGGUGGAAGAACGGACAGAGAGGACAUUAUGCUGCCGGCAGACUGACAGACUGAGGCAAUGGUUAACUCAUGUAAACGGGGCAUAUCUACAAUUGUGGUGACCCCUCCAGCAGCAGCUGCUCGUGUGGCGGUCCAGUACCCUUCCCAGGAGGAGCUGAGUGCCUAAGGCAGGAGUGGAUUCCUGGUGGUGGUGUUGUUUUUUUCACAAGUGCUGGCUUGUAGGGCUGCACGAUAAUGAUUGCACUGAUAAUCAUGAUUGUUUUGAUGAAAAUUAUAAUUCUGAAAAAAAAACUCAUGGUUUUGGUUAGUGUUUUGAAAUCUGUAUUCACAUUAGAUUUUCUAAGUGACAAUUUUCCACCAUCGGGCUGAACCGUUCUCUUUGCUUAACCGUUCCAUUCCGUGCCAAUCGGGGCAAGUCAGCACGGAUAUGGUUUCAUUUUCCACUGUGGUGCUGAGAAUUCCAGCCAUAGAACGGUUUGCAAUCAUGCCGUGCCAUACCAGGCUCAGGUGGAAACACAACUGGAACCGUACCUGACCAUUCUAAGAAUCAUUCGGCCCAAUAAGCAGCUUUUGUUCGCAAAUAAGACUCAGAUCGCACAGUAAAUGAAGAGUUCAGAUGCAAAACCAGUUAAAAGCCAUCUCGGUCAAAAAUGAGAUAAUGAUACUGAGUGAAUGUUCUCAACACAUAUUAUACGUCCAUCGAAUACUUUUUCUUCAAACUCGCUAAAAUACCAGCCUCAGCCCAAUCAGAAGUACCAGUACUUACAUAGAAACCUAUACAUCUGAGCCUGAUAAAAAUGCAUUAUUUAAAGAAAGACGUCAGAUGGAUUUAGCUGGUUUUGCAUCUGAACUCUUUAAAUUUGCUUAAAGAUCGUUAAUACAUACUAAUUGCCAUGCCGUUUUCAACAGAUUAACACUGUGAAAGCUGGUAAAAACUUUAGAAACUCCUAACAUAACUUAAAAUAAUUCAAAAAUAUGUACUUUUUCCCCAUUGUAUUGCCACAGGUAGCAAAAGCGAUUUGGUUACAUAAGCAGCACAAAUGGCUUGUAACCAUUUGUGCUUGUAAUAAUUUGUAACCUGGCUGCCUUAAA